rnacentral:rRNA from 1 species
CUACGGGAGGCAGCAGUGGGGAAUAUUGCACAAUGGGCGCAAGCCUGAUGCAGCCAUGCCGCGUGUGUGAAGAAGGCCUUCGGGUUGUAAAGCACUUUCAGCGGGGAGGAAGGCGGUGAGGUUAAUAACCUCAUCGAUUGACGUUACCCGCAGAAGAAGCACCGGCUAACUCCGUGCCAGCAGCCGCGGUAAUACGGAGGGUGCAAGCGUUAAUCGGAAUUACUGGGCGUAAAGCGCACGCCGGCGGUCUGUCAAGUCGGAUGUGAAAUCCCCGGGCUCAACCUGGGAACUGCAUUCGAAACUGGCAGGCUAGAGUCUUGUAGAGGGGGGUAGAAUUCCAGGUGUAGCGGUGAAAUGCGUAGAGAUCUGGAGGAAUACCGGUGGCGAAGGCGGCCCCCUGGACAAAGACUGACGCUCAGGUGCGAAAGCGUGGGGAGCAAACAGGAUUAGAUACCCGAGUAGUC